GGCCACCGCGCAGCAUGGUGGGGUCCCUCCCCGACCUCACAGACGAGAGCGAGGGAGCCUCUGCUGCUGGGGGCCUGCCCUGGGGCCUCACGCCGCCCCAGCGUCGCCACUGACAAAGCCUCAGACAUCCAGCGACGUGGGCUCUGAGUCCAGGGUGCGGGGCCGUCAGACAUUUCAGCUGCAUCUUCACAUUCGUUUGUGCCCACGGUCAGCAGAGUCCUCGGGAGGCCGGGGCCUGAGUCACCCCUGGCCCGGGGGAGGACGCCCUGGGCAGGCCCUGGCUCACCCCUCCCGCACCGCACACCCCUCGGCGCACCUGCCAUCUGCACCUGCCUCCUCCAAAUCCCACCGCUGACUCCCCCCCACCCCACCGAGGGCCUAGAUAAACGCAUCUGCGAGCCCUCGGCCCACGCAGAGGGUGUUGGAUGUUGCACAGAUGUUCCCCCAAGACAAACGGUCAUGAAAGAGGAAAAAAUAAUCAUAUAAGUGAACGAAAGGAAAUUGCAGCAAAACCUAAAGUUCCUGGAGAUGAAGGUGGAAAACAGGUAGUUGGAGAGCAGCUGUCCUCAGCACGCUGGCCGGAGCUCGCUGGCGCCGUGACUCGUGAGGGGACUGCACCUGGAGCCCAGGACUGGGUGGUAUUUGACUGCCUUCCUUCCGUGCUCCUCACAGUGUCCACACUGACUUACCUAUUCUCGGCCAUUAGUGUGGAUUAGGACGCGUCCCACGUGGAGCAGGAGCCAGUGAGGCAAGCUGUGGACGCGGGUGCGAGGACCCGCAGAGUCUGCGUCUGGACCAGCCGGGCAGGUUCUGUUUCUCUGCCGCGGGUGAUCCAGCCUCUCCUUGGGCAGAUUCGGGCUCAGCCCGGGAGGUUAGUGACCUGCCCGCUUCCCUCGCCGUCCUCACUUGACCCCCCAGGAUGCACCAGGUUUCAUCCUGGACACUGGAGACACAAUGGCCAGCAAAAGACCCACAUGCAUUUGUCCUCUCAAUGAAUAACGAUGUAGCAGUGGUUUUCGUGCCAGGCAGGACUCUGGGUCCGGGGUCUGAAAGCUGCGGCCAAACCCAGCAUGGAACUUGGUUUUAUAAAUAAAGUUUUAUUAGAACACGGCUGUGCCCA
rnacentral:lncRNA from 1 species